rnacentral:lncRNA from 1 species
AUAUAUUAACAAAUAAGUAAAGAAAUUUAAAGCCUGCAUUAUGCUUUUAUAUAGGUAUUAGAUUAGAUGGUUCUAUAUGUAUAAUUCUAGGGCUUGCAAAGUAUAUAGAUAAUCCAGCAAAAUAUUUGUUAUUUCAAAUGCACAUCGUACAAAUUCACAAAAAACAUGCAAUAGUAAUAGCACAAUACUUCCAUUUUUAGGACUGUGUAUACAUGCAUUAAUGGCAACAAAUUUGCUGGCACCAAGAAGCAGUGGGAAAAAUAAAAAAGAAAGUAAAUAUAUGCAGUGGUAGACAUUUUCCAUUGCAGAUUUGGGCUUUUCUGAUAUACAAGAACCACAUUUGUUCCUUGGUAAAUUUAUCUCGUUAACGAAAACAGCGUAUGCAGAGUGUGAGAUUAUGGUUUAUCAAACACAAGAGGCAUCACAAGAUCAGCAAUUACCCGCUAUUCUGAAGAAGGCCUCACAAUUCUGGAGGAUUGAUCUAGACAAGCCAAACAGCACCACCCUGCUUUCAUAUAUGAUUACGUCUGCAGCCACAACCAACAUCAAUAAUAAAUUUACCUCCCAAUGAGAAGGGAUUAGCAGUACUUAUAAUAUACAGAUCCUGAAGGUAAAUAGCCAUGAAAUCCACUAAGACUCGGGGCAUGAUUUUAUUAGGAGUGUGAGAGAAAAAUAAGAAAGAAUAUACGAGAGAUUGUUAUGCAAGUCAAGGGCUAAAUAUGAAAGAUGAAAUAAUCUCCAAGCUGCCAACCCAAGUGAUUUGCUAACGAUAAUGUGCGAUUGUGACAUACAUACAAGAACAUUCUAUUUUACAUUCAAGAAUUGCACGCGCUGUAGAAAAUGUACUAGGUUCUACCUUCUAGCCAACCUAGGUGAACAUCUUUCUAAAGAAUAAGAAAACCUCAUCAGUAAGAGUGCACACACAGAUGAUGAUUCACAUAAAUGGAAGAUAUUUAAAAAUUUAAUAUAGUUCCUCAUAAGCAGAUAUAAAUAAGUCCAGAACAAGAACCAGAUUGUUCUAAGGUAUGUCAAAGACCCCGCCCCACCCCCUAGAGAGAGAAGAAAAGAACAACCCGCACACACUUGACCUGAUUUCUUCCUAGUAAACUGAAAGUAUGAAGAAGAAAAACCACAAUUGCAAGUAAUUUAGGAUACUACAAAAUAAAAUGAAGAUAAUACUAGAAAAGGUGAAGUAGUCUAUUGCACUUAUAGAAUUAACUGCAGUCUAAGUGAGAACUGACGCAUACUUUAUUUGGCUCUAAAAGAAGCAAAUUAGGAAAUAAAAAGACACAGCAGUUGUCAAACACUACUUAGAAUCCAAUUGUCCAAAAUAGAGCUAAUUGCCUAAUUCCCAAAUAAUUUUUAUCCAAGAGUUUUUUGUUCACUUGUCAAAAGUCUUCAACCUAUAAAUAGUAUCACGUUAACCAAAUGUUAUACAUAUCACCGUCUAGAUAGGUUGGCGUUUAGAGCUGCAUUUAGAAUUUGGUUAAAAAGUACUCAAACAUACACCAGAAUCCUAGUUAGAGAAAAUCAUACUUGCAACAACAAAAUAAUUAUGUAAUGGUACUAUUUGGUAUAUUAUAUAAACACAAUUCACUAAUUGCAUUAAUGUCAAAUUAUUACUAGUGGAGAACAACAUGAAACUAGCAUUACUUUUAAUUAUCAAAUAAAACAAAUAAACAAUAGCUGAUUCAGAGAUUCCUUGUGCUUAAAUAUUAGUGCUAUUGAUAUAUGCGAUCGUAAACAUAGCUUAACCAAUUGUGUAACUGAUUCAUAUAAGCAAUUUGCUCUCCCCCCCCCCCCCACAAUUAAAUAUGUUAAUUGAUUAAAUAGAUAGAGAUUUUGCACAAAGAUUAUAUGACCUUAAUAAAUGUUCGAAGUGUAUAAAACUUUGAAAAAUAUUCCACCACCUCAGUGGAAAAUAGCCAAAAGAUGAGCUGUAUACAUGCAAGUAACGACAUUAAUCCCUUUACGUGUCCAAAGUAUUUUGCAUAGAAUUUUGAUCAAACGCACUAGACAACUGGAGCCCAUAACAUUCAACUUGGUUCCAUGCUAAACAAUAAAAAUAGUAGUAUAUUAUUUACAUAAGAUUCCAAAAAGUUACGCCUCUUUUACUCUCAUGCUUUAUUUUUCAGAUGACAUUUUUAUCUGCUAUUAGUAAAUCCUUGGCUGUUACUAUAUCAUUACAACUACAAAUUUACAUAUUAUUAUAUUUAAGAAUCUGUAAUGUGUUUUUAUCCUUCAUAAAAUCCUUAGAUACCAGAACAUCUUAUAAGUAAUGCAAAGAUGAUGCAAGAACAAACAAAUUCACGUCGGCCCAGAUAAUACUUAACUGUGAAUGAAAGACAAAUUGAUAAAAGCAAAGUUCCAGCAUGCAAUUCACUUAGUAUAAGCGAUGAAUGGAUAAAUGUCACCGACUGAUUAAUAAUUUAUCACAAGACAUUUAAUUCAGAUUAUUCUGAAUUUAUCAACUCAACUGUCAUAUCGGCAGAAAAGGCCAGAAUUGCUGCUCAUAAGGACUACGUAUCAGUGACUCGACUCCACUUGCAUGCGCACCGUGUGUCUCUUGCAAAGAGAAACUUUUUUUUGAGUAUAUUACUUCUUCCAUUUAGGCACUAACGGUGUGUCUUAUUAUGCCUCUAUGUUCACUUAUGCCUAUUUAAAGGGUAACUUGAGUUGCCAAAAUCAUUGUGACUUGAGCCUACUCAUAUUCAUCUGCAUAUAGACAUUACUUUUAUUUCCUGCAUUACCCUGUCCCCCUUGUCCCUCUCUCUCUCGUUUUAGUUUCUUUCUCUUUUUUCACUAAAAACUCACUUUUUUCACCAUGAGAAACAAAGUUUUUCAUAAUCUGGAGGUGAAUGAAACCUAUGAUCCAGUGGUAAGCCUAAAUCAGGCUUGGGAUAACAUUCGAGUUCCAAUUCUAGCGCCAAUUUUACGAAUUGCGAUUUAUAUAUGCAUAGGCAUGUCUAUUAUGCUUUUUAUUGAACGGGUCUACAUGGCUAUUGUGAUUGCUUGUGUCAAAUGCCUGGGAAAGAAAAGAUACACCAAAUAUCAGCUGGACGCCAUCAAAGAAGAUCUAGAGAAGAGUAAAAACUAUCCAAAGGUGUUGGUUCAAAUCCCAAUGUUUAAUGAAAAAGAGGUAAACGGAUCUACUUUAUCUUCAUUUAAUGAUAUAUAUAUAGCAUUAGACUCAGAUAAAAGAUGUCUAUUAAUAAAUAACACUGGAAAGUUAUUUUGAUUCAAAAAUAGAAGAUUAGGAGAAUGCAUCUAGAGUAUCUUAAUUUUUAACUAGAAGAUAUUUUAUAGAACAUGAUUAUAUAUUAAUAGAAAGGCUAUUUAUUCUAGCUAUAUAUAUAGGAAUAAAUGUAUUUCAUAAUUGUACAUUUAAUACAUCCAAGUAUAUCCAGUUUCAGAAAACAGAAUAGAAAGUUGGUUCACUAUGACGAUCACUAACAUAUUGUCUACAUUAUCGCCACUUUGGUUAUUCCAUGUACUGCCAUGUUAGCAAUAAAUGUUCAUAUACAUGCACAAAACAAGUAAUGAAUGCAUCUGUAGUUAAGAGCUUGUAUUGAACAACAUCAUUUCAACUACAAUAGCUAUCCAAAUAUGAUAGGAGCAUAAAGACCAUAGAACCUAUUGGCAAUUUUAUAACUGUUUUGAGUUUCUGAGUUAUGCUCAAGAUAUUAAGAUACUCAAAAACAGAGAGGAACAGAAAGAAACCCUUAUGUACAAUGUGCAAUUUGCCUCAGGUUUACAAACUAUCUAUUGGAGCAGUAUCUCGGCUGUCAUGGCCAUCAGACCGGUUCAUAGUGCAAGUUUUGGAUGACUCAACCAACGAAGUCUUAAGGGUAUCUUUUCCUAUCCCAUAGUAUACUCUAAUUUGAUCGCCUGACAAGUUUGUCUAUUGAGUAUUGAGUGAUAGAAGAAUAUAUGCAGGAUAUGGUUGAAUUGGAGUGCCAAAAAUGGAUAGAGAUAGGGGUGAAUAUCAAGUAUGAAACAAGGGACAACAGGAAUGGCUACAAGGCAGGCGCACUUCGAGAAGGUCUUAAGAAGCAAUAUGUUAAGGACUGUGAAUUUGUCAUAAUCUUUGAUGCAGAUUUUCAGCCAGAAGAAGAUUUUCUUUGGAGGACUAUCCCCUACCUACUUAAAAACCCAGAAUUGGGAUUGGUUCAGGCCAGGUGGAAAUUCGGUAAGGACAAUAAUAUUGUGCAUUAUAGGUGAGAGGUCCUUGAAUACUGAAAUGAUCAAUGGAAUAUCAGAUGCAUGCAGUCAAGAGAUAAAUGAAGAUCAAAUGGCAUGAUUAACUUUUGAUAUGAUAUAACACUACUAAUCUAUAGUACAGUAGAUGAUAACAAAUGUUUUGGAAUAAAGAUUACUGAGUAUUAUAAGUUGUUGAUACCAUAGUAGUUUUGCAGUUAAUGCAGAUGAAUGUUUGAUGACUCGCCUCCAAGAGAUGUCAUUGGACUAUCAUUUUAGUGUUGAGCAAGAAGUGGGCUCUUCAACAUGUUCAUUCUUUGGGUUUAAUGGUUGUCCACAACUUAAAUUCAGUUAGAGAAACCUCCCUCAAACAAAGAAUUAUUACUAACACAACUGAGACAUUUGGCUUCAAUAACAGGGACUGCUGGUGUUUGGCGGAUGUCAGCACUGAAUGAUGCAGGUGGAUGGAAAGAUAGAACAACAGUGGAAGACAUGGACCUUGCCGUCAGAGCUAGUCUCAAAGGCUGGAAAUUCCUAUUUGUCGGGGACCUAGCAGUGAGUUUUAAAACCUGAAAUUUUUCCUUAUGAGACUUAAUAUACAUAAUGUUAUUCUCAUCUACCUUUAUCAGGUGAAAAAUGAACUACCAAGUACAUUUAAGGCAUACAGAUAUCAACAGCAUCGUUGGUCAUGUGGACCUGCUAAUCUGUUACGGAAAAUGUUGAAGGAAAUCAUUAUGUGUGAGGUCAUUAGCUCCUAGUUCUAUUUUCUAUAGUUAUCUGAAACAAUUCAACCAUAAUUAUAAUGAAUUUUGAAGAACUGUGCAACUAACAAUUCUUUUUUACGUUGAUGCAGCGUGUGUCAGUCUGGAAGAAAUGGCAUGUAAUCUAUGCAUUCUUCUUUGUAAGGAACAUAAUAGCACAUUGGGUUACCUUUUUCCUUUACUGCAUAGUAAUCCCUGCGACAAUCUUGGUUCCUGAAGUUCAUCUCCCGAAGCCGCUAGCUAUCUAUCUUCCAGCAGGCAUUACCAUUCUUAAUGCAGCUUCGACUCUAAGGCAUGACCUUCCACAUAAGAAAGUGGAAUAAUCUGAUCAUAUUAUUUCUUAAAAAUGUCAUGAAAUUAAUCCUUGAAAAUUUUUACAUGUAACAGGUCCAUUCAUCUUCUUGUGUUCUGGAUACUGUUUGAGAAUGUUAUGUCUCUUCAUAGAUCAAAGGCAGCAAUAAUAGGACUUCUUGAAGCUAACAGAGUCAAUGAAUGGGUAGUGACUGAAAAGCUAGGCAACACAAUGAAGCAAAAAUACAAUGUGAAAGCAUCCAAGAAACCAAGAUCACGUUUGGGAGAAAGGUACUAAACAUAAGGGCACCUCUGAAACUAUUCCAUCAAUAUUCUUUCAAUGAAGCUAUUCUAUCAUUAUUCUGUACUAACAUAAAAAUUGAUUUUGUCCAUAGGAUACAAAUAUUGGAGCUAAUAGUGGGCAUGUACCUGCUACACUGCGCCAUAUAUAACAUGCUAUUUGGGCACAAUCAUUUUUUCAUCUAUCUUUUGCUACAGGCAGGAGCUUUCUUUAUUGUUGGAGUUGGUUACGUUGGAACAUUUGUCCCCAGUUAAAGAUGCUACUAGAAACAAGAAUAUUGGAACAUGGCUAUGAGCUAUGGAGGCUACCUGAUAGAGUCUUAGUACUAUGUGUUCAGUUAUUUUUUUUCUUUCUAUAUUCCCCUUUUCUCUUGGUGCACUAUAUAUUUUACAGUAUAAACCAUGUGUCUAUCUCUAAUAGAUAAUAAUUAAUAAGUUAUACUAACAGUGAUGAUUUUCUGGAUUCACCAAUAUCUGUUUUUCAAUAGCUGGGUACAAAAAUAAACCCACAAUAGAGAAGAAAACCAGAAAGGAAAAAAGGGAAAGAAACACACUAAUAAUUACGUUUAUAUCAAACAAUAGUGAAAAAGAAAAUAUGUUGUUUUCUGGAGCAGACACGAAGAGAAAACAGACAUUUCCAUUUCACACGGAUAAACUUAGUCUCAGAUGAUGUCAGAAUGUGUUCAAACCUCCACAAAAUACUUGAUGCAUAUGCACAGUAGCUUCCAUCAUAUGAAUCCUUGUUUCAGAAUAUAAGAAAUGUAUAGUUUUUGCUCACAGAAUAAAACAUCACACAGUAGAACAUUCCUGCUAGAGGACACAGAGGACUGUGAGGUACAUUAUGCACCUCCAUGUAACAUGAAAAAAGCUUAAAAUGAACCAUGUAUUUCUUAUGUAGGAUCAGAUAAAAUAGGUAGGAAUUAGCUGGGGCUUCUUGCUAUUAUACAUUUAAUUAGGAAAAAGCCGCCAACAAAGUUAAAACAAUCUCAUACUCCAAGUCUCCAACUAUAACUGUGAUUGAAACCCCAACUGCAGAGCCAAAAGGUAAAAUUUACCGCAAAUAAACUAAAAAGUAUAAUGAACUAACUUUAUCCGUCGAUGGAUAAUUCGUAUCAUUGUCCUUUCUGUUAUGCUGCCCUAUGUAGCAAGUUCAUGUCAGGGAGGCAUCCUAAAAGAGGAAAUAAUCAAUCAUGCACUUAAUUUGUUUGGAAAUGUAGCAAACUCCAAUUUGCAUAAUGAAUUACAAUUUCAUAUGAUACGUCCAAAGUCCUUUCCUUUGCUUGCUUGUUGUAAUCAUAUUGUUUUACAUAACCAUUCUAAGAUUAAGCUCGUCCAGAAGCUGUUAUCAGAGCAAAUUUAUAUCUACACUGAAAUUAAAUUAUUAAGAAGUAUUGGUUCUUUUUUAAUGAUCAUAAUCGGAACUUACCAAACCAAUCUAUCUUAACAAACUAAUCCAGACAAUAGGCGAGAAUAGUAAUCUUCAUAUAAAAUAUGAAAAGUCGCUCUUGAUUUAAGAAUAACACGAGUUUGAUGAACUUAAAACUCCGGCCCACACCUCUCCCAACCAUCACCUCCAAGUCUCCAUAACCACUACGAACACCAGCUUCACAGCAACUCCAAAAGAAAAUUAAAAUUCAGAAAAGAAGCCUACUCACUUCUUACAGGUUGGGGGCAAGGAACAUCGCCGCCGCCUCAGCCCUCGGGACGCCGACAUUAACUCACGGACGGUGGGGUUUGGCUUGACUAGAUGUUGGGACUUUCGAUUUCUGAUGUCAAAGAAUUGGAUGAAAUUGGGUGAAUAGAGAAAUUAGGGUUUUUCCGAAUCUGAAAUUUGGAACGGGGCUAAAGUGUGAAUAAGAGCAUCUGUAGUGUGAAAUUUGCAAUUGAUUUUUUUUUAUAUAUAAAAAAUCGUUUCAAAAUUUGAGAUUUUAAUUUUUAAUUAAAUGUAGUUUCACUAUUUAUAGUGUAUUAUAUUAAAUUACGAUUUUAUUGAGGCUAAAAAAAAAGAAAAAACAACCUAAAAAAAACCCUUGAAUGCACAAGAAGCAAACUCAGGGUCGAGCCUCAUUAAAACCUUGCUAUGGAAACCCAGUGAAAAAAACCAUAAUAAGAAAAAAGAGUACUCGUGUAAAAAAUGACUAAAGGGACGAAGCAAAAAUAAAGAGAGCGUAGGAAGGAAGCACUUCAAGAACUCCAGCCUAACCAUCGCCCCCAAGCACGCCCAG